CAACAUGUAAAUGCAGUAUUGAGCAGAUAAAUCACAGAGGUAACUUGAAUCUUGUCUGAAUGUUACAGGGACAGAUGAGACACACAUGUUUAUCCGGUGAAGAGUGACUGAUGAAGGAAUGCUGCCAUCAGAGGCUUUGAAGCUUUUUUGGUGGAGCAGGACCUGCAAGGCAAGGUGACGGUGGCAUUUGUGGAAAAAAGGGAAAACCUGAAACAAAAACAUAAAGAUCUGAAAUGUCUGCAGACUGCUGUGUGCAGUGAGGAUGGAGAUGUCGACAGCAGCACAAGGAUUGAACAGCAUUGAGGCAAGCAA